CGUAGGGUGCAAGCGUUAAUCGGAAUUACUGGGCGUAAAGCGUGCGCAGGCGGUUAUGUAAGACAGAGGUGAAAUCCCCGGGCUCAACCUGGGAACUGCCUUUGUGACUGCAUAGCUAGAGUACGGCAGAGGGGGAUGGAAUUCCGCGUGUAGCAGUGAAAUGCGUAGAUAUGCGGAGGAACACCGAUGGCGAAGGCAAUCCCCUGGGCCUGUACUGACGCUCGUGCACGAAAGCGUGGGGAGCAAACAGGAUUAGAUACCCUGGUAGUCCACGCCCUAAACGAUGUCAACUGGUUGUUGGGUCUUCACUGACUCAGUAACGAAGCUAACGCGUGAAGUUGACCGCCUGGGGAGUACGGCCGCAAGGUUG
rnacentral:rRNA from 1 species